UACGGGGGGGGCAAGCGUUGUUCGGAAUUACUGGGCGUAAAGGGCUCGUAGGCGGCCAACUAAGUCGGAUGUGAAAUCCCCAAGCUUAACUUGGGAACUGCAUCCGAUACUGGAUGGCUUGAAUCCGGGAGAGGGAUGCAGAAUUCCAGGUGUAGCGGUGAAAUGCGUAGAUAUCUGGAGGAACACCGGUGGCGAAGGCGGCAUUCUGGACCGACAUUGACGCUGAGGAGCGAAAGCCAGGGGAGCAAACGGG
rnacentral:rRNA from 1 species